rnacentral:rRNA from 1 species
AACGAACGCUGGCGGCAUGCCUAACACAUGCAAGUCGAACGAGAUCUUCGGGUCUAGUGGCGCACGGGUGCGUAACGCGUGGGAAUCUGCCCUUUGGUUCGGAAUAACAGUUGGAAACGACUGCUAAUACCGGAUGAUGACGAAAGUCCAAAGAUUUAUCGCCAGAGGAUGAGCCCGCGUAGGAUUAGCUAGUUGGUGUGGUAAAGGCGCACCAAGGCGACGAUCCUUAGCUGGUCUGAGAGGAUGAUCAGCCACACUGGGACUGAGACACGGCCCAGACUCCUACGGGAGGCAGCAGUGGGGAAUAUUGGACAAUGGGCGAAAGCCUGAUCCAGCAAUGCCGCGUGAGUGAUGAAGGCCUUAGGGUUGUAAAGCUCUUUUACCCGGGAUGAUAAUGACAGUACCGGGAGAAUAAGCUCCGGCUAACUCCGUGCCAGCAGCCGCCGUAAUAC